rnacentral:rRNA from 1 species
UACGAAGGGGGCUAGCGUUGUUCGGAAUUACUGGGCGUAAAGCGCACGUAGGCGGACUAUUAAGUCAGGGGUGAAAUCCCGGAGCUCAACUCCGGAACUGCCUUUGAUACUGGUAGCCUAGAGAUCGGAAGAGGUGAGUGGAAUUCCCAGUGUAGAGGUGAAAUUCGUAGAUAUUGGGAAGAACACCAGUGGCGAAGGCGGCUCACUGGUCCGAUACUGACGCUGAGGUGCGAAAAGCGUGGGGGAGCAAACAGG